CAGCCGCCGCGGGAAUACGUAGGUGGCAAGCGUUGUCCGGAAUUAUUGGGCGUAAAGGGCUCGCAGGCGGUUUCUUAAGUCUGAUGUGAAAGCCCCCGACUCAACCGGGGAGGGUCAUUGGAAACUGGGAAACUUGAGUGCAGAAGAGGAGAGUGGAAUUCCACGUGUAGCGGUGAAAUGCGUAGAGAUGUGGAGGAACACCAGAGGCGAAGGCGACUCUCUGGUCUGUAACUGACGCUGAGGAGCGAAAGCGUGGGGAGCGAACGGGAUUAGAUACCCCGGUAGUCCCUGUCUCUUAUAC
rnacentral:rRNA from 1 species